AUGAGCUACGCGGCGUACAAGAUGAAGCACUGGCCGACGGGCAUCGAGCACUGCGCCGCCGGCUUCAUCGCGCACCGCCCCUCCGACGCCGCUGCCUUCCCCGCGCCCGCCGCGGGGCCGGCGGCCUCCUCCGGGGCCGACAGCGACGCCGACUCCUCCUCCGCGAGGCGCCGCGGCCCCACCCCCACCCUCGUCGUCGCGGCCGCCAACGUGCUGGAGGUCUACGCCGUCAGGGCCGAGGCGGCGCCCGCCGCCGAGGACGGGGCCGCGUUCGACGGCGUCCUCGGGGCCCGCCUCGAGCUCGUGUGCCAUUACAGGCUCCAUGGGAACGUCGAGUCGAUGGCCGUGCUGUCGGAUGGGGCGGAGAACAGGCGAGACUCCAUUGCGCUCGCUUUCAGAGACACCAAGAUAACCUGCCUGGAAUUCGACGACGCCAUCCAUGGACUGCGGACUAGCUCAAUGCAUUGCUUUGAGGGCCCAGAAUGGCAGCAUCUAAAAAGAGGCAGGGAAUCAUUUGCUUGGGGUCCUGUCAUAAAAUCUGACCCGCUAGGCAGAUGUGGCGCUGCACUUAUUUAUGGACUACAAAUGGCCAUUCUGAAAGCUGCCCAGGUUGGACAGAGCUUAGUGGGAGAAGAUGAACCUACACGUGCACUGAGUUCUAGUGCUGUCCGUGUCGAGUCAUCAUAUUUGAUUGACUUACGAGCUUUAGAGACAAAUCAUGUCAAAGAUUUUACAUUUGUACAUGGUUAUAUUGAGCCUGUAUUGGUCAUAUUACAUGAGCGAGAGCCUACAUGGGCUGGGCGUAUCUCAUCAAAGCACCAUACAUGUAUGAUAUCAGCAUUUAGUAUAAGCAUGACACUGAAGCAACACCCAGUGAUAUGGUCUGCUGCUAACCUACCGCAUGAUGCAUACCAAAUUCUUUCUGUGCCUCCACCUAUUAGUGGUGUUCUUGUCGUCUGUGCAAAUUCUAUCCACUAUCAUAGUCAGUCCACUUCUUGUUCCCUUGCCCUCAACAGUUUUUCAUCACAGCCAGAUGGCAGUCCAGAAAUUCCUAAAUUAAAUUUUCAUGUGGAGCUUGAUGCAGCUAAAGCGACAUGGUUAUCCAAUGAUAUUGUAAUGUUCUCGACAAAGACCGGAGAAAUGCUGUUACUUACAGUAGUUUACGAUGGCAGAACUGUGCGAAGAUUAGAUCUUAUGAAGUCAAAAGCAUCUGUCAUCAGUUCGGGUGCUACGACUAUUGGAAGUUCAUUCUUCUUCCUUGGUAGCCGUUUGGGAGACAGCCUUCUUGUGCAAUUUUCCUGCGGUGUGGCAACAUCUGUCUUACCAGAUCUAAUAGACGAGCGGUCUGGUGAUAUUGAAGGCGACCUGCCUUUUCCGAAGCGCCUGAAGAGGGUGCCUUCUGACGUUUUACAGGAUGUGACCAGUGUUGAGGAACUUUCUUUUCAGAAUAACAUGUUGCCAAACAGUAUAGAAUCAGCACAGAAAAUCUCAUAUGUCGUGAGAGAUAAGUUGAUCAAUGUUGGCCCUCUGAAAGAUUUUUCAUACGGUUUAAGAGUCAAUGCAGAUGCCAAUGCAACAGGAAAUGCAAAGCAAAGCAAUUAUGAGUUGGUGUGCUGUUCUGGUCAUGGAAAGAACGGAGCACUUUCUGUCCUACAACAAUCUAUUCGCCCUGAUUUAAUUACCGAGGUGGAAUUACCAAGUUGCAGAGGUAUUUGGACAGUGUACUAUAAGAGUUCCCGUGCACAUACCAGUGAAGAUAAUGAAUAUCAUGCAUAUCUGAUAAUAAGUCUAGAGAGCCGGACCAUGGUACUUGAGACAGGUGAUGAUCUAGGAGAAGUUACUGAAACAGUUGAUUAUUAUGUUCAAGGGGCGACCAUUGCUGCUGGUAACUUGUUCGGAAGGCGGCGUGUCAUACAGGUAUACGCCACGGGUGCUCGUGUGCUUGAUGGUUCUUUCAUGACACAGGAGCUAAACUUUACUGCGCAUUCUUCAGAAUCUUCAUCGUCAAGUUCUGAGCCUCUUGGAGUGGCAUCUGCUUCCAUUGCAGAUCCAUACGUUCUUUUGAAGAUGGUUGAUGGAACUGUUCAACUUCUUGUAGGAGAUCAUUCUACUUGUGCUCUUUCGAUCAGUGUUCCCAGUAUUUUUACAAGCUCAAGCGAAAAAAUAUCUGCGUGUACACUUUAUUGUGAUAGAGGUCCUGAACCAUGGCUGAGAAAGACACGUAGUGAUGCAUGGCUAUCUAGUGGUAUUGCAGAACCGAUUGAUGGCAGUGGUAGUUCAUCUCAGGAGCAGUCUGAUAUAUACUGCAUCAUUUGUUAUGAAAGUGGUAAACUAGAAAUUUUUGAAGUGCCUAGUUUCAGAUGUGUUUUCUCUGUGGAAAGUUUCUUCUCUGGUGAGGCUCUUUUGGUUGAUUCAAAAGGAAGACAUGAUGACACUAAAGUUUCUCUAAAGAAAGAAGCGGAUAGCAUUCGGGUAGUUGAGCUUGCAAUGCAUAGAUGGUCUGGCCAGUUCAGUCGCCCAUUCCUUUUUGGUUUAUUGAACGAUGGGACAUUUUUGUGCUACCAUGCUUUUUGCUAUGAAGACUCGGAGAGUAAUGUGAAAGACAAUUCAUUUUCACCUGCUGGUUCUGUGGAUCUUGCCAGUGCCAGUGAUUCGAGACUAAAAAAUUUGAGAUUUCACCGAAUUUCUGUUGACAUUACAUUACGAGAAGACAUAUCAAGUCUUGCACGACCGAGAAUCACAAUUUUUAACAAUGUUGGAGGUUAUGAGGGAUUGUUUCUUAGUGGCACGAGGCCAGUCUGGGUUAUGGUUUGUCGGCAACGAUUUCGGGUGCAUCCACAGUUAUGUGAUGGUCCCAUUGAAGCCUUUACUGUUCUCCACAAUGUAAACUGUUGUCACGGGCUUAUAUAUGUUACAUCACAGGGUUUUCUGAAGAUAUGUCAACUGCCCGAAGCAUAUAACUAUGACAACUACUGGCCUGUCCAAAAGAUCCCUUUGCAUGGUACCCCUCAUCAGGUUACAUAUUAUGCCGAGCAGUCUCUGUAUCCACUUAUCGUGUCUGUUCCUGUUGUUCGCCCCUUAAAUCAAGUUCUGUCAAUUAUGGCUGAUCAAGAUUUGGUUCAUCACAUGGAUAAUGAUGCUACUAGUGCCGAUGACCUGCAAAAAACGUAUACUGUUGAGGAAUUUGAAGUUCGCGUAUUAGAGUUGGAGAAACCUAGUGGACGUUGGGAGACAAGGUCCACUAUUCCAAUGCAAUCAUUUGAAAAUGCUCUGACUGUGCGCAUUGUUACAUUGCAUAACACAACCACCAAGGAAAAUGAAACCCUGAUGGCCAUUGGGACUGCUUAUGUUCAAGGGGAGGAUGUAGCUGCCAGAGGACGGGUGCUUCUGUUCUCUUUCACUAAAAGCGAAAAUUCUCAAAAUCUGGUAACAGAAGUCUACUCAAAAGAGAGUAAAGGUGCCGUAUCAGCUGUUGCGUCACUUCAAGGUCAUCUGCUGAUAGCUGCUGGCCCAAAGAUCACAUUGAGCAAAUGGACUGGUUCUGAAUUGACUGCUGUUGCAUUCUAUGAUGCUCCUUUGCAUGUUGUGAGCUUGAAUAUUGUCAAAAAUUUCGUUUUGUUUGGCGAUAUCCAUAAAAGCGUAUAUUUUCUUAGCUGGAAGGAGCAAGGUUCUCAAUUGACUCUGCUUGCAAAAGAUUUUGGAUCUCUAGAUUGCUUUGCAACUGAGUUCUUAAUUGAUGGAAGCACACUGAACCUUGCAGUUUCUGACUCUGAUAAGAAUUUGCAGAUCUUCUACUAUGCUCCCAAAAUGGUGGAGAGCUGGAAGGGGCAGAAGCUCCUUUCCAGAGCAGAGUUUCAUGUCGGAGCCCAUCUGACCAAGUUUAUGAGGCUGCAGAUGCUUCCCGCUCCAGGAUUGGCAUCUGAGAAGACGAAUCGUUUUGCCCUUCUUUUUGGUACUUUGGAUGGUGGUAUUGGAUGCAUUGCGCCUAUUGAUGAGUUGACAUUCCGCCGGCUUCAGAGCUUACAGAGGAAGCUUGUAGACGCCGUCCCCCACGUGUGUGGCCUGAACCCAAGAUCAUUCAGGCAGUUCAAAUCCAACGGGAAGGCACAUCGUCCUGGACCAGAUAACAUCAUUGACUUUGAGCUUCUUGCACACUAUGAGAUGCUAUCGUUGGAAGAGCAGCUUGACAUCGCACAGCAGAUUGGGACUACCCGUGCGCAGAUCCUUUCCAACUUCGCUGAUAUUUCGCUAGGCACGAGUUUCCUGUGA
rnacentral:rRNA from 1 species